UGGACUCGAGAGAAGAAACAAGAUGAAGAUGAUUUGCUGCUGUGUUUUUUGCUGGUGAGUGUUUCUCCCUUUGUAGACUGGUCGACUGCUUUUCCUUUGUCGAGUGAAAACCCUAGUUUUUGUGUUUUUGUAAUUUGUAAAGCUGCUGAUGUGUUUUAAAUAGGCACUGUCAAAAUAGCGUCGCCUCGCUGCGCCUCUCGCCUCACCUCGCCUCGCGCCACACAGGCUGUUGCCAGCGCUAUUCACGAUCGCCUCGCCACACCU
rnacentral:lncRNA from 1 species